CAGUCCUAUGAGGACGAAGUGACUGACACCACGCUUCCAGGAAAAGCCACUAAGCUUCAGCUUAAGAAAAACCGUACCGCAAACCGACACAGGUAGGCAGGGUGAGAAUCCCAAGGCGCUUGAGAGAACUCGGGUGAAGGAACUAGGCAAAAUGGCACCGUAACUUCGGGAGAAGGUGCGCCCUUUGGUGUGGUCACGUGCGUGACUGAGCAUUGAAGGGUCGCAGUAACCUGGCCGCUGCGACUGUUUAUCAAAAACACAGCACUCUGCAAACACGAAAGUGGACGUAUAGGGUGUGACGCCUGCCCGGUGCUGGAAGGUUAAUUGAUGGGGUCAGCCGCAAGGCGAAGCUCUUGAUCGAAGCCCCAGUAAACGGCGGCCGUAACUAUAACGGUCCUAAGGUAGCGAAAUUCCUUGUCGGGUAAGUUCCGACCUGCACGAAUGGCGUAACGACAGCGGCGCUGUCUCCACCCGAGACUCAGUGAAAUUGAAAUCGCUGUGAAGAUGCAGCGUUCCCGCGGCAAGACGGAAAGACCCCGUGAACCUUUACUAUAGCUUUACACUGAACGUUGAGUUCUUCUGUGUAGGAUAGGUGGGAGGCUAUGAAACCAGGACGCUAGUUCUGGUGGAGCCAUCCUUGAAAUACCACCCUGAAGUGCUUGACGUUCUAACCUAGGCCCGUAAUCCGGGUCAGGGACCGUGUAUGGUGGGUAGUUUGACUGGGGCGGUCUCCUCCCAAAGAGUAACGGAGGAGCACGAAGGUACGCUCAGCGCGGUCGGACAUCGCGCACUGUGUGCAAAGGCAUAAGCGUGCUUGACUGCGAGAUCGACGGAUCAAGCAGGUACGAAAGUAGGUCUUAGUGAUCCGGUGGUUCUGUAUGGAAGGGCCAUCGCUCAACGGAUAAAAGGUACUCCGGGGAUAACAGGCUGAUACCGCCCAAGAGUUCAUAUCGACGGCGGUGUUUGGCACCUCGAUGUCGGCUCAUCACAUCCUGGGGCUGUAGCCGGUCCCAAGGGUAUGGCUGUUCGCCAUUUAAAGUGGUACGCGAGCUGGGUUCAGAACGUCGUGAGACAGUUCGGUCCCUAUCUGUCGUGGGCGUUGGAGAUUUGAGGGGGGCUGCUCCUAGUACGAGAGGACCGGAGUGGACGUUCCGCUGGUGUUCGGGUUGUCAUGCCCAUGGCAUUGCCCGGUAGCUACGAACGGAAGUGAUAACCGCUGAAAGCAUCUAAGCGGGAAGCACGCCCCAAGAUGAGAUCUCCCGAGAGCUUGACUCUCCUAAAGGCACCAUCAAGACUAGGUGGUUGAUAGGUCAGGUGUGGAAGCGCAGCAAUGCGUUGAGCUAACUGAUACUAAUGAGCCGUGAGGCUUGACCAA
rnacentral:rRNA from 1 species